GCCCUCUAAGUGGUCUCAUAAGCUAACCUCUUCCCGAGUGCCUGUCUACCUCGACAGUGAGGAACAACUGUCCUGUUCGCCUAUCUGAGAGGAGUGCUGCAGAGGACACCAACACAAAUGAGCUUCACAGAUGAAGUGCAGAGGCCAUCAUAUAUGCCCUGGCUGUCCUACGGAAUUUCUCAUUGCAGGAGGCUGAGCAGGUCUUCCUUUCUGGUCCGGAUUAUCAUUACAGGAGUUGAAGCCUACAGCCUUUCUGUCCAUGCAGCAACUGAUGGAAAAGGG